rnacentral:misc_RNA from 1 species
AAGUCGUAACAAGGUUUCCGUAGGUGAACCUGCGGAAGGAUCAUUAUUGAUGUCCACACACAUCUUCAAACCACUGUGAACCACCGGGAGCGCGUAAAAACCUCCCUCCUUCAUAACCUUUACACCCUGUUAAUUGUAAUAUGAACAUGUUAAAAAUUUGAAAACAACUUUCAACAACGGAUCUCUUGGCUCUC